ensembl:lncRNA
CAGGAAAACCAUCUGAUCCAACAGAAUAUCCAGUCUAUUCUGAGGUGCAGACAGAGAACGCAUCUGGACCUGUUGAUGUGACCUAUGCAAAGAUUGACCUCAAUAAGAAGACCAAGAACAAGAGAGGAUUAACUCCUCCACCAGAGACAGAACCAGUCUAUUCUGAAGUAAUGCCAUGAACAGGAGAACCUUCUUGGAUUCCAGGUUGUACCCUUUUGGUUCGAUACAAAAUCCUUGUGGCAAAGGUUCUACUUGGAACAAAGACAGGUUCUACCUAAUACCAAAAAGGGUUCUACCUGGAACCACAGCAACCAAGGUUUCAUCAAAGGGUUCUUCUUUGUGGACAGCUGAUCAAAGUUCUAAAUAGCAAAACAAUUCUAAGAGUGUUUGUUGUUAUCAACUCCAAAAUGUUGCAGGUCCUUGAGAGAGAUGACAGGGACAAUCAGAUUAGAAGCAGGAGCCACCUGGGAACAUUGAUGUUUAUACCCACUCUACAUGUAGACCACAGCAUGUACAGAAGACAUGAUGUUUACACCCACUCUCCAUGUAGACCACAGCAUGUACAGAAGACAUGAUGUUUAUAUCCACUCUCCAUGUAGACCACAGCAUGUAUAGAAGA